GUCUUGUACACAAUGUCCCAAGCUUCUGAC
rnacentral:piRNA from 1 species